UGGAGGAUGAUGACGAUGACACUUAUACACAAUGUAUGCCCUACAAUUUUGUGCCAGCUGAUGAUUUAAAUGCUACGACGACGUUGGUUAGAACAGAAUUCGAAGAAAAUACUACUGCUUGAUUGUUACUGGUGACAUCAUGCGUCGUAGGGGACGAUAUGCUGGUGUGCAGUUUCAGUUUUCACAGACAGAGGCCGGUACGUCUUCUUCAGCACAGCAGCCUGAGGCUAGUUCAGCUGCCCAGCAUUCUGAGCCUUGUCUUUCAUCAUCAGCACAGCACGAUCCUCCUGUUCAUCAGGCAGAUGAUGAGAUACACGUGCAGGACGGAUCCGGGAGAGUACGCCCCAGACGCGGACCCACUAGUAGUACGAGAUGUGUGGCAGAUGUGUGAGGGCGAGAGGAUUG